rnacentral:rRNA from 1 species
AUUGAACGCUGGCGGAAUGCUUUACACAUGCAAGUCGAACGGCAGCACGGACUUCGGUCUGGUGGCGAGUGGCGAACGGGUGAGUAAUGUAUCGGAACGUGCCCAGUCGUGGGGGAUAACGUAGUGAAAAUUACGCUAAUACCGCAUACGAUCUAUGGAUGAAAGCGGGGGAUCGCAAGACCUCGCGCGAUUGGAGCGGCAGAUAUCAGUUUAGGUAGUUGGUGGGGUAAAGGCCCACCAAGCCAACGAUCUGUAGCUGGUCUGAGAGGACGACCAGCCACACUAGAACAGCGACACGGUCCAGACUCCUGCGGGAGGCAGCAGUGGGUAAUUUUGGACUAUGGGCGAAAGCCUGGUCCAGCCAUUCCGCGUGCAGGAUGAAGGCCCUCGGGUUGUAAACUGCUUUUGUACAGAACGAAAAGGUUUCUACUAAUACUAGGAGCUCAUGACGGUACUGUAAGAAUAAGCACCGGCUAACUACGUGCCAGCCGCCGCGGUAA